GAGACCCACGCCCACAGUUGCCAGCGUACUCUCCGGAGUGACGGGUACACUGUGGGGACCGCCGCUGCUAAAGCGGAGGAAGGAAUGGGCAACGGUAGGUCAGUAUGCCCCGAAUAUCCCGGGCUACACGCGAGCUACAAUGGUUGGUACAAUGGGUAUCUACCCCGAAAGGGGAUGGAAAUCUCCUAAAGCCAAUCUUAGUUCGGAUCGAGGGCUGCAACUCGCCCUCGUGAAGCUGGAAUCCGUAGUAAUCGCGUUUCAACAGAACGCGGUGAAUAC
rnacentral:rRNA from 1 species